rnacentral:rRNA from 1 species
AAGGGAGCGUAGGCGGACUGUUAAGUCAGCGGUCAAAUGUCAGGGCCCAACCUUGGCAUGCCGUUGAUACUGGCGGCCUUGAGUUCACACAAGGAAGGUGGAAUUCGUCGUGUAGCGGUGAAAUGCUUAGAUAUGACGAAGAACUCCGAUUGCGAAGGCAGCCUUCUGGGGUGUUACUGACGCUGAGGCUCGAAAGUGCGGGAAUCAAACAGGAUUAGAUACCCUGGUAGUCCGCACCGUAAACGAUGAGCGCCCGUCAUUGGCGACACACAGUCAGUGACCAAGGGAAACCGUUAAGCGCUCCACCUGGGGAGUACGCCGGCAACGGUGAAACUCAAAGGAAUUGACGGGGGCCCGCACAAGCGGAGGAACAUGUGGUUUAAUUCGAUGGUACGCGAGGAACCUUACCCGGGCUUGAAUUGCAGAGGAAGGAACUGGAGACAGUGACGCCCUUCGGGGCCUCUGUGAAGGUGCUGCAUGGUUGUCGUCAGCUCGUGCCGUGAGGUGUCGGCUUAAGUGCCAUAACGAGCGCAACCCUCGCUGUCAGUUGCCAUCAGUUAAAGCUGGGCACUCUGGCGGGACUGCCAUCGCAAGAUGUGAGGAAGGUGGGGAUGACGUCAAAUCAGCACGGCCCUUACGUCCGGGGCUACACACGUGUUACAAUGGGGGGUACAGAGCGUUGCUUUCACGCGAGUGAUUGCGGACCGCAAAAACCCUUCUCAGUUCGGACUGGAGUCUGCAACCCGACUCCACGAAGCUGGAUUCGCU